AACGAACGCUGGCGGCAGGCCUAACACAUGCAAGUCGAAGCCCUAGCAAUAGGGAGUGGCAGACGGGUGAGUAACACGUGGGAACCUUCCCUAUAGUACGGAAUAGCCCAGGGAAACUUGGAGUAAUACCGUAUACGCCCGAGAGGGGAAAGAUUUAUCGCUAUAGGAUGGGCCCGCGUCGGAUUAACUAGUUGGUGAGGUAAUGGCUCACCAAGGCGACGAUCCGUAGCUGGUUUGAGAGAACGACCAGCCACACUGGGACUGAGACACGGCCCAGACUCCUACGGGAGGCAGCAGUGGGGAAUAUUGGACAAUGGGCGCAAGCCUGAUCCAGCCAUGCCGCGUGAGUGAUGAAGGCCCUAGGGUUGUAAAGCUCUUUUGUCGGGGACGAUAAUGACGGUACCCGAAGAAUAAGCUCCGGCUAACCUUCGUG
rnacentral:rRNA from 1 species